UGAUUAUUAUCAAUGUUGAACACAGUUGUGCUGCACAAUAUUUUUGUGGAAACUGUGAUACAUUUUAUUUUUCAGGAUUCACAGAUGAAUAGAAAGUUCAGAACAACAGCAUUUAUUUGAAACAGAAAUCUGCUGUAACAUAUCUUCACUGCCACUUUUGAUCAAUUUAAUGCAUCCUUGAUUAAUACAAUUAUUAAUUUCUUUUAAAAUGUCGUACCAACUCCGAACUUCUGAUCAGAAGUGUAUCUGUUUGAUCUCAAAGCAGUUAACAUCGCUCGAUCACUGUGUGUCUGUAGAGAGUGUUUCUGCGGCUCUGAAGGAGGAUGAAGGCGUCUCUCCCGCUCUAGAGCGCCUCCUGCUGUCUGGUGAUCUGUACCGCAGAGUGUUUUCCUCUCACGCUCUGUCUGGGGUCACAGCGCCACCUAGAGGCCUCGGCUCUCUGCUGCAGCUCCUCAGCCGGUAUGACCUGAUCCCGCUCCACACGGAGCAGCAGAAGCCGGUCGAUGAGACACAGCUGAGCUAGAAGCCCAUUAACAUGGUGAGUGAAUCAUACACAGACUCACUGCAGCUGAUUUGAUUGGCUGACACACGCCUCUCUCGCUCUUCUCUGAUUGGUUACAGGGAGCCCAUCUGGCCUUGAUUGAUUCACUGAUGUCACUGAGCGCCAUGGAAACCGUGGGUCGGGUCAAGAUGGUGAAGGAGACGGAUCAGUUCGAGUCCAACAGGAGCUGGGAGAACUCACUGCUCUUCUGGAUCAACAAGGUCAAUCAGAAGUUGCGUGAAAGUGCUAAUGUUGAGGAUAAUCCGGAGUCAAACCCCUGCACAGACCUGCAGCCGGCUCAGCCAUCAAAGGACGGGGCUGGAGCAAAAAGGAAAUCAGCCGUCCUCUCUCCGCUGUGGCCUUCAACAUCCCAUUCCCACUGGACAGUGAUGUUGAUGUUGUUAUGGGCAAUCCUCUCUUUCGUUCCGUCAGCACGGACAGCCUCACCAUGGUAACCAGCCCCGGCCCUUACACACCCCCAGAGAAUCUGAGUAAGCUCAUUGGUCAAGCUCCUCUAGGAGAGUUACCUACCAUAGAAGAAGCAUUGCAAAUUAUUCAUACUGCCCGUCCGGUACACGAUGAGCCCCGGCUGCGGCCAGAGGGAGCUCCGUCUGGCUUUUACCUCCACUCCCCUGAGGUGGGUUAAGCCAGACUGAGCAGCUCUACCCCCUGCUGGUCAGGGAUGAUGUAUCGACCAAUUGGAGGAAGGCCUGAUAGCAGCAGAAACUGCAAACGACCACCUGUUGGUUCACAAGAAAUCCAUGGAGGUUUAGAGUGUGACACACCUGAAGACUCUCCCAAAAC
rnacentral:lncRNA from 1 species